rnacentral:misc_RNA from 1 species
AGCAGCCGCGGUAAUUCCAGCUCCAAUAGCGUAUAUUAAAGUUGUUGCAGUUAAAAAGCUCGUAGUUGAAUUUCGGGAUCAAUUAAUUGGUCGUGCCUAUGGUACGUACUGAUUUUAUUGGUUUCUCCCUUCUGACGAACCAUGAUGUCAUUAAUUUGGUGUCGUGGAGAAUCAGGACUGUUACUUUGGAAAAAUUUAGAGUGUUUAAAGCAGGCUAACGCUUGAAUACAUUAGCAUGGAAUAAUGAAAUAGGACGUUUGAUCCUAUUUUGUUGGUUUCUAGGAUCGACGUAAUGAUUAAUAGGGAUAGUUGGGGGCAUUAGUAUUCAAUUGUCAGAGGUGAAAUUCUUGGAUUUAUUGAAGACUAACUACUGCGAAAGCAUUUGCCAAGGAUGUUUUCAUUAAUCAAGAACGAAAGUUAGGGGAUCGAAGACGAUCAGAUACCGUCGUAGUCUUAACCAUAAACUAUGCCGACUAGGGAUCGGAUGAUGUUAAUUUUUUAAUGACUCAUUCGGCGCCUU